rnacentral:misc_RNA from 1 species
GCAAACUUGGUCAUUUAGAGGAAGUAAAAGUCGUAACAAGGUUUCCGUAGGUGAACCUGCGGAAGGAUCAUUAGCGAAUAAACAAGUGUUGGUUGUGCUGACCAUUCGUGGUAUGUGCACGCUGACCACUGUUUCAUUCAUUUUCCACCUGUGCACUUCAUGUAGUCCAUGCAUUGCUGAUUUCAGGCCUUUUUAAGCCUGGUUUAAGGAAGUUGCUUGUUUCACAACAGGCUCUUCUUGGGCAUGUAUGGUCUAUGUUUAUUAUCUACACCAUAUGAAUGUCAUAGAAUGUAUCAGGCCUUGUGCCUUUAAACCAUAAUACAACUUUCAACAACGGAUCUCUUGGCUCUCGCAUCGAUGAAGAACGCAGC